GGUUUGGUGGUGUAGUUGGUUAUCACGUCAGUCUAACAGGUCGAGAAAGUCUUCGGACGAACUCCGCCAAUUCACUGAAGGUCUCCGGUUCAAGUCCGGGCUAGAUCA
rfam:Colletotrichum tofieldiae strain 0861 Ct_v4_contig118, whole genome shotgun sequence.